AACCCUGGUGGUGAAAGGAGCCGAGCAAAAAGAAUGAGUGUGUUACAAAGGCAAGUCCAUCCUUCAGAGCAUUUAAAAUGCUGAAAUGAAAUACAACCUAGUGCAGCUACUUACUCUUUUGAUAACAUCCAGUGGCAUUUAUACUAAGGUUUAUACUUAUUAUAUUGGACUCUAAUUUCUAACUGCCUAGAAAAGUGCACAGAGUAACUUUUUUUUAAUGAAGGAGGGAGGGCAUUCUUUAAUAUGUUCUCUUGUGGUACAAAAACAAACCUUUGGAAUUUUCAACACAGGUGUGUAUAUGUCACCACCAACAUUUGAAUACCCUGUGGGGAGAUUAAAAAGCCUUUCAAUUUUGGCUUAAGGUAUUAAAGGGGAAAAAAAGCACUGGUAUUAAUAUAGUAACUCAUUAAUAACCACAACCCUAUGAGAUAGGACAUGGGACAAUUAUGCCAGCCACAGGAGAUAGGCUGUGGUCUGUAUUCCUAAGGCAGGGAGCAGAUAAGGAACUCUCCAAAGUUUUAUAUACCUGGCAAGAGGUAGAGCUGGAAUUUGAAACCACAUGGUCUGAUUUCAGUCUGUGGUGCUUAACAGGGAUAGAAGGUGCAUAGCAGGUUCUAUCCCUGUUUUACAGAGCAUGUAGUUGGGAGUUUUAAAGUUUAUAUAUGUUUGUAAUAUGUAAUUGUUUCCUCUGCAUUUCUUACAAGUACAAAACUCAAGUGAUUCAGUGUGUGGCUCAGCUUGGAAUAAGCAGUGCAUGUCAGGGCUUGGAUCCCAGCGAUGUGACAUGAGGUGGCCCAUUUUCUAGCCCAGAAAAAGGAGCCCUUACCUGUGAAUUAGAGGCUUGAGUUGGGCUGACAGGUCUGAUGUCUUCAAGUGGAUUAUACUACAGAGAUAGAAAUGACUUACUGGAGGACACUGAGCCAGUUUAUCAGCUGCUACCAUUUGGACAUUGAGGUGUUUUGCUUGAGAUUUCCCUCGAGAUUUUAUUAACCUUUGUAAAACCUGUAAAAGAUAAGAUUUAACAGAAGAAUAUCUGCAGAUAUAAAAAGGUUCAUUAGCCACGCCUUUCUCUGGGGUCCCUUACAACUGGUUUAUAGUAGAUUGAGCUGUAAAAUAUAUGUAAGAUUAUCUGUGAAAUUAAAUCUCAGUUGAAAGCUUUAAAAAAAGAUAGCUAGCAGUUAUCAAACUUUGUUUUUAAAAAUUGAGUAACCCCAAAGAGCUUUUGCUUAUCUGGACUAUAUCUGAGAAAUUUAAACAUUUACAAUAAAAAUGUUACAUAUUAGCAUAUAUUAUUUUAAUAAAAAAAUAGCUACAUUGUUUGCAUAUUUCUGUAAUGUCUGGGUUCGUAGAAGGUAUGUCUCCUAUCUGCUUCUAAGUAUAAACUGAUACAGUGCAGUUUUCAUUGAAAUAUGUGAAGGAAAUCCAGCCUCCUAUAGAUAAUUCAGAAAAGAAUUUAGUAGCAGUUUUAGGUAAUUGUUGAUACUAUCUUAAACUCAACAAGUGGUAGUUUUUAAACACUGUGUGUUAAGUGUUCACUGCCAUGUGAAAUCUGAAACUGUAUCAACAAAUGUUUCUCACUCUUAACAUUAAAAUCUACUGGUCUAUUGUAAAGUUGGAA